GAGCCGGACCAAAGCCAGGAGCUUCUCCCAGGUCUCCCUGUGGGUGGCAGGGGCCCAGACACUUGACCCGUCUUCCUCUGCUUCUCCCAGGCCAUUAGCAAGAAACUGGAUUGGAAGUGGAACAGGUAGGACCCAAACUGAUGCCCACAUGUGAUGCUGGAGUUGCAGGUGGUAGCUUUACCCACUAUGCCACAACACUGACUCCAAGAAAGAACCCUUGUUAUAAAUGUUUGGGGAGGUGAUGACAGUUCGGCUAGAAGAUCAGCCAAGGGAAGACUGCUUCCUCUGUAUGCAAGCCAGCUGGAACCUGAGAAUCCACUUGAGUUUAGGAUGGCGUAAACAAGCAACAAGAAGGAGCAAGUCUAUCAUCCCUCAGUAGUCUCAAGUGCACCUUCCAAAUGCACUUCAAGAAAAUGAAGCAGAGUGUCAGAUAAGAGGGUUUACACUCCCAAAUCAAGAGCCACAAUAAUGUGGAGGACCAGGCCCAACAAUGAUCUGUGCAGAUGAGGUGCAUGACUGUCAAGGGAGGCUUCUUCAAGAGUUUGCAUCUUUGCUGAGAUCCCAGAUAAACACUCUCCUUUUUGGACAUCAGGAUAAUUCUGACCUACACAGGGCCAACUGGAAACAUAUAAUGGCAGAACUGGAACACAGUAAUAAGAGGAAAGAAUAUGAUGGAGGAGGAACAGGCCUGUGGAUGGUCUACAAGUAUUUAUAAGGUACUUAGUGUGGUGUGUGCAUUGUCUUUUGCCCAGCUGCCUGUAGAUCGCUUUCAAAAGCCUCUUUAGAGAGACUGACAGGUUCUUCAAGACCUGAUGAGAUUUUGCUGUGGGGAGCAGGAAGGAGAGCCAUUGUGAGACUCCACUAUAAUCUGCCUAUGGCUCUUCAUUGCUUCAGAUCAGAGACAGGGUACGCCUGUGCAGUGAGCCCCUCCAUCCAGCUUGGUGAGUUCAUGCCCUUCCACACGGCAUGACUCUGUAAGUUUGUGACGGGGAGAAAAGUGCUUGUUUGGCCGCAGUGAUUACUGUAAUGACUUCAUGCUCCUCCAUGUUCUUCUGAUGGACUUCAAGCACCUUCUAAACAAACAAUAAUUAGCCACACCACUAUGUGGUCUUUGUAAUUGGAUAAAUCAGGCACAAUCAACUUGAACCAUCUAAAUCCUAAUGACUUGCACAGGGACACAUAGUGGUUGGUGCCAAACAGGAAGAAACUAAGAAAUAUCAAUAUCUAGUCCUUUAUUUAGCCGGUGGAAGAAACAAUACUGUUUCUAUUUAACACACACACACACACACACACACAUUGAUACACCUACAAAAAGAUGAUUUACUGAGUUUUAUUAGUCUAUUGAGUAAGUUGCAAAAGAGAUGGAGAAAGAAGGAUAAAGUAAAGGAAAAAUAAAAGAAUGGGGGAAUGAGGAGCUGGACA
rnacentral:lncRNA from 1 species